AACUAUUUGCAAGAAUUGUUUGGUGGACUUGGUGGAAGAGCUGCCGAGGAAGUGAUCUUUGGUGAGCCUGAGGUGACCACAGGUGCAGCCGGUGAUUUGCAACAGAUCACUGGUUUGGCCAAACAGAUGGUGACCACAUUUGGAAUGUCUGAAAUUGGUCCAUGGUCACUAAUGGAAUCUUCAGC